AUUGAACGCUGGCGGCAUGCUUUACACAUGCAAGUCGAACGGUAACAGGUUAAGCUGACGAGUGGCGAACGGGUGAGUAAUGCAUCGGAACGUGCCCGAUCGUGGGGGAUAACGCAGCGAAAGCUGCGCUAAUACCGCAUACGAUCUGAGGAUGAAAGCGGGGGACCGUAAGGCCUCGCGCGAUCGGAGCGGCCGAUGUCAGAUUAGGUAGUUGGUGGAGUAAAUGCUCACCAAGCCGACGAUCUGUAGCUGGUCUGAGAGGACGACCAGCCACACUGGGACUGAGACACGGCCCAGACUCCUACGGGAGGCAGCAGUGGGGAAUUUUGGACAAUGGGCGCAAGCCUGAUCCAGCAAUGCCGCGUGCAGGAAGAAGGCCUUCGGGUUGUAAACUGCUUUUGUACGGAGCGAAAAGGCUCUCUCUAAUACAGGGGGCUCAUGACGGUACCGUAAGAAUAAGCACCGGCUAACUACGUGCCAGCCGCCGCCGUAACAC
rnacentral:rRNA from 1 species